rnacentral:rRNA from 1 species
UUGGGCGUGAGAGCUCGUAGGCGGUUUGUCGCGUCUGCCGUGAAAGUCCGGGGCUCAACUCCGGAUCUGCGGUGGGUACGGGCAGACUAGAGUGAUGUAGGGGAGACUGAAAUUCCUGGUGUAGCGGUGAAAUGCGCAGAUAUCAGGAGGAACACCGAUGGCGAAGGCAGGUCUCUGGGCAUUAACUGACGCUGAGGAGCGAAAGCAUGGGGAGCGAACAGGAUUAGAUACCCUGGUAGUCCAUGCCGUAAACGUUGGGCACUAGGUGUGGGGGACAUUCCACGUUUUCCGCGCCGUAGCUAACGCAUUAAGUGCCCCGCCUGGGGAGUACGGCCGCAAGGCUAAAACUCAAAGGAAUUGACGGGGGCCCGCACAAGCGGCGGAGCAUGCGGAUUAAUUCGAUGCAACGCGAAGAACCUUACCAAGGCUUGACAUGGGCCGGACCGGGCUGGAAACAGUCCUUCCCCUUUGGGGCCGGUUCACAGGUGGUGCAUGGUUGUCGUCAGCUCGUGUCGUGAGAUGUUGGGUUAAGUCCCGCAACGAGCGCAACCCUCGUUCCAUGUUGCCAGCGCGUAAUGGCGGGGACUCAUGGGAGACUGCCGGGGUCAACUCGGAGGAAGGUGGGGACGACGUCAAAUCAUCAUGCCCCUUAUGUCUUGGGCUUCACGCAUGCUACAAUGGCCGGUACAAAGGGUUGCGAUACUGUGAGGUGGAGCUAAUCCCAAAAAGCCGGUCUCAGUUCGGAUUGGGGUCUGCAACUCGACCCCAUGAAGUCGGAGUCGCUAGUAAUCGCAGAUCAGCAACGCUGCGGUGAAUACGUUCCCGGGCCUUGUACACACCGCCCGUCAAGUCACGAAAGUUGGUAACACCCGAAGCCGGUGGCCUAACCCCUUGUGGGAGGGAGCUGUCGAAGGUGGGACUGGCGAUUGGGACGAAUCUUACAGGGUAAC